UAGGGAAUUGUUCGCAAUGGGCGCAAGCCUGACGACGCAACGCCGCGUGGAGGAUGAAGAUCUUCGGGUCGUAAACUCCUUUCGAUCGAGACGAAUAGUCCUGGGGUGAACAGCCCUGGGAAAUGACGGUACCGAGAGAAGAAGCCCCGGCUAACUCCGUGCCAGCAGCCGCGGUAAUACGGGGGGGGCAAGCGUUGUUCGGAAUUACUGGGCGUAAAGGGCUCGUAGGUGGCCAACUAAGUCAGACGUGAAAUCCCUCGGCUUAACCGGGGAACUGCGUCUGAUACUGGAUGGCUUGAGUUUGGGAGAGGGAUGCGGAAUUCCAGGUGUAGCGGUGAAAUGCGUAGAUAUCUGGAGGAACACCGGUGGCGAAGGCGGCAUCCUGGACCAACACUGACACUGAGGAGCGAAAGCCAGGGGAGCAAACGG
rnacentral:rRNA from 1 species